rnacentral:rRNA from 1 species
GACGUAGGGCGCGAGCGUUGUCCGGAUUUAUUGGGCGUAAAGAGCUCGUAGGCGGCUUGUUGCGUCGGACCGUCGAAAACCCGCGGCUUAACUGCGGGCUUGCGGUUGAUACGGGCGGGCUGGAGUUCGGUGAGGGGAGACGUGGAAUUCCUGGUGUAGCGGUGAAAUGCGCAGAUAUCAGGAGGAACACCGGUGGCGAAGGCGGGUCUCUGGACAGUUCCUGACGCUGGAGGCACGAAGGCCAGGGGAGCAAACGGG